rnacentral:rRNA from 1 species
GUGAGGAAUAUUGGUCAAUGGACGAGAGUCUGAACCAGCCAAGUCGCGUGAAGGAAGACGGUUCUAUGAAUUGUAAACUUCUUUUGUGCAGGAAUAAAGUGGGUUACGUGUAACCUUUUGUAUGUACUGUACGAAUAAGGAUCGGCUAACUCCGUGCCAGCAGCCGCGGUAAUACGGAGGAUCCGAGCGUUAUCCGGAUUUAUUGGGUUUAAAGGGUGCGUAGGUGGAUUGAUAAGUCAGCGGUGAAAGUUUGCAGCUUAACUGUAAAAUUGCCGUUGAAACUGUCGGUCUGGAGUGCAAAUGAGGUAGGCGGAAUGUGUUGUGUAGCGGUGAAAUGCUUAGAUAUAACACAGAACUCCGAUUGCGAAGGCAGCUUACUGGGAUGCAACUGACACUGAUGCACGAAAGCGUGGGUAUCAAACAGGAUUAGAAACCCCGGUAGUCC